rnacentral:misc_RNA from 1 species
CUGUACACUUCGGGGGCAGGCUUUCCAAAAGGACAGCCCAAGAGCGUUUGGGCUGGCGGCGGCGUGUUCAGGCGGUAACCGCCAGAACACGGGAAUUUUCGCACGUCGAUCGAGCCUGCCUACUGAAUAUUACCCUUGCUUUUUGCGCACCCACUGUUUCCUCGGCAGGCUUGCCUGCCAGUAGGACCCUUUUUCAAACCCUUUGUAGUUGCAGUCAGCGUCAGAAACAACGUAAUCGUUA